UUGGUUCUCCCGCAACACUACUCUGUUUACCAGGUCAGAUCCGGAAGGAAGCAGCCAAAGCGGAUGACGUGUGUGCCGGGAUGUAGCUGG
rnacentral:SRP_RNA from 1 species